rnacentral:rRNA from 1 species
UACGAAGGGGGCGAGCGUUGUUCGGAAUCACUGGGCGUAAAGGGCGUGUAGGCGGCCCUCUUAGUCGCGUGUGAAAGCCCCGGGCUCAACCUGGGAACGGCGCGCGAAACGGGAGGGCUGGAGUUCGGGAGAGGAGAGUGGAAUUCCCAGUGUAGAGGUGAAAUUCGUAGAUAUUGGGAAGAACACCCGUGGCGAAGGCGGCCCACUGGGCCGGUACUGACGCUGAGGCGCGAAGGCGUGGGGAGCGAACGGG